UAACACUACGACAUGGCAUCAUGAUGUAGUUAAAGCUCCGGCGGUUAAGGAUGGGCAUGCGGUACAUUAGCUAGUUGGUGAGGUAAUGGCUCACCAAGGCUACGAUGUAUAGGGGGUCUGAGAGGAUGAUCCCCCUCACUGGUACUGAGACACGGACCAGACUCCUACGGGAGGCAGCAGUAGGGAAUAUUGGUCAAUGGACGAAAGUCUGAACCAGCCAUGCCGCGUGAAGGAUGAAGGCCCUCUGGGUCGUAAACUUCUUUUAUUAGGGAAGAAACCUCAGGAUGCGUCCUGAGCUGACGGUACUUAAUGAAUAAGGAUCGGCUAACUUCGUGCCAGCAGCCGCGGUAAGACGAAGGAUCCAAGCGUUGUCCGGAUUUACUGGGUUUAAAGGGUGCGUAGGCGGAAAAUUAAGUCAGUGGUGAAAGCCCGCAGCUCAACUGUGGAACUGCCAUUGAAACUGGUUUUCUUGAAUAUAGCUGAGGCAGAUGGAAUAUAACAUGUAGCGGUGAAAUGCUUAGAUAUGUUAUAGAACACCGAUUGCGAAGGCAGUCUGCUAAACUAUUAUUGACGCUGAGGCACGAAAGCGUGGGGAGCGAACAGGAUUAGAUACCCUGGUAGUCCACGCCCUAAACGUUGAUUACUCGCUGUUGGCGAUAUACUGUCAG
rnacentral:rRNA from 1 species